GACGAACGCUGGCGGCGUGCCUAAUACAUGCAAGUAGAACGCUGAAGGAGGAGCUUGCUUCUCUGGAUGAGUUGCGAACGGGUGAGUAACGCGUAGGUAACCUGCCUGGUAGCGGGGGAUAACUAUUGGAAACGAUAGCUAAUACCGCAUAAUAGCAGUUAUUGCAUGAUAACUGUUUGAAAGGUGCAAUUGCACCACUACCAGAUGGACCUGCGUUGUAUUAGCUAGUUGGUGGGGUAACGGCUCACCAAGGCGACGAUACAUAGCCGACCUGAGAGGGGGAUCGGCCACACUGGGAAUGGGACACGGCCCAGACUCCUACGGGAGGCAGCAGUAGGGAAUCUUCGGCAAUGGACGGAAGUCUGAACGAGCAACGCCGCGUGAGUGAAGAAGGUUUUCGGAUCGUAAAGCUCUGUUGUAAGGGAAGAACGAGUGUGAGAGUGGAAAGUGCACACUGUGACGGUAUCUUACCAGAAAGGGACGGCUAACUACGUG
rnacentral:rRNA from 1 species